rnacentral:piRNA from 1 species
UCUUUGGGAACUGAUGCUAUAUCUUCCAAA